CGGCAGCACGGGAGCAAUCCUGGUGGCGAGUGGCGAACGGGUGAGUAAUAUAUCGGAACGUGCCCAGUCGUGGGGGAUAACGCAGCGAAAGCUGUGCUAAUACCGCAUACGAUCUCUGGAUGAAAGCGGGGGACUCGUAAGAGCCUCGCGCGAUUGGAGCGGCCGAUAUCAGAUUAGCUAGUUGGUGGGGUAAAGGCCCACCAAGGCGACGAUCUGUAGCUGGUCUGAGAGGACGACCAGCCACACUGGAACUGAGACACGGUCCAGACUCCUACGGGAGGCAGCAGUGGGGAAUUUUGGAUAAUGGGCGCAAGCCUGAUCCAGCAAUGCCGCGUGCAGGAUGAAGGCCUUCGGGUUGUAAACUGCUUUUGUACGGAACGAAAAGGUCUGCCUUAAUACGGUGGGCCCAUGACGGUACCGUAAGAAUAAGCACCGGCUAACUACGUGCCAGCAGCCGCGGUAAUACGUAGGGUGCGAGCGUUAAUCGGAAUUACUGGGCGUAAAGCGUGCGCAGGCGGUUAUAUAAGACAGAUGUGAAAUCCCCGGGCUCAACCUGGGACCUGCAUUUGUGACUGUAUAGCUAGAGUACGGUAGAAGGGGGGAUGGAAUUCCGCGUGUAGCAGUGAAAUGCGUAGAUAUGCGGAGGAACACCGNAUGGCGAAGGCAAUCCCCUGGACCUGUACUGACGCUCAUGCACG
rnacentral:rRNA from 1 species